rnacentral:siRNA from 1 species
UAGAAACCGCUAGAUACCGCUUGA